AUAAAAGAACACAUACUGGAGAGAAACCCUAUGACUGUGACCAAUGUGGCAAAGCCUUUGCACAUCGUAAACAUCUUCAAGUGCAUAAGGGAACAACACAUAAUGGAGAGAAACCCUAUGCAUGUAAUCAAUGUGGUAAGGCCUUUACAUGUCCCAGCUAUCUUCAAAUCCAUAAAAGAAACCAUACUGGAGAGAAACCCUAUGAAUGUGACCAAUGUGGCAAAGCCUAUGCACGACACAGUUACCUUCGAACACAUAAAAGAACACAUACUGGAGAGAAACCCUAUGAAUGUAACCAAUGUGGCAAAGCCUAUGCACGACACAGUGGCCUUCAAACUCAUAAAAGAACACAUACUGGAGAGAAACCCUAUGACUGUGACCAAUGUGGCAAAGCCUUUGCAUGUCACGGCUAUCUUCAAGAACAUAAAAGAACUCACACUGGAGAGAAACCCUAUGAAUGUAGCCAAUGUGGCAAAGCCUUUGCAUGUCACAGUACUCUUCGAAAGCAUAAAAGAUCACAUACUGGAGAGAAAUCUUAUGAAUGUCACCAAUGUGGCAAAGCCUAUGCACAACACAGUUACCUUCAAGCACAUAAAAGAACACAUACUGGAGAGAAACUCUUUGAAUGUCACCAAUGUGGCAAAGCCUUUGCACAUCGCAACCAUCUUCAAAUACAUAAAAGAACACAUAUUGGAGAGAAACUCUAUGUAUGUAAUCAAUGUGGCAAGGCCUUUGCUUGUCACAGCUAUCUUCAAAAACAUACAAGAAGACAUACUGGAGAGAAACCCCUAUGAAUGUACCCAAUGCGUCAAAGCCUUUGCACAGUUUGGACGUCUUCAAAGUCAUAAAAAAAAGACAUAC
rnacentral:lncRNA from 1 species